UUCCUCUGAUGACUUCCUGUUAGUGCCACGUGUCUGGGCCACUGAGACACCAUGAUGGAACUGAGGAUCUGAGGAA
rnacentral:snoRNA from 10 species